UGAGUUUUUCCAUAGAAAUAGGCUAGUUACCAUUUUGUAUUUGGUUGAAAAUUAACAUGGAGUUUGCAGGGAAAAUAUUCCGGCUACUUGUUUGUUUUCUUGCUCUGACAACUCUUCUGUUUCGACAUGCCAUCUCUCUGGCAGGUACAAAAUUAAUCACUCAUUAAUUAAUCAAUAACUACGAUCAAGCUUAAUCAAACCUACCGUACGACGUCGUUAAGUGGUUAA
rnacentral:lncRNA from 1 species